GGAUUAUUACUGGGUUGUUGUUGUUGUUGUUGCAGCAGCAGCAUGGACUACUCAUUAUGAAUAUUUUCAGGCAACAUAAUGUCAUAUAUACAAGGCGUUGCUCAUAACUAAGAAUGCCAUUGGAGUAUAGUCCGACAUCAAUUUGUUGAAAAGACACUGCUUCAAUUAACAUAAAUAAACAUUAAUUUGUGACAAGAAGUAAAAUCUUAGAACCUUUAUAGAUACAGAUCUACAUACAAGCUGACUUGUGAUAAUUGGUCGAUGCAGUUUAUACAAAAUUCUGCGAACGCCAUUGUUGUCAUUGCAUAGUUAGCAGCAGGUAGUUGGCUGUCCAAUCUUUUGUUUUCUGCUUUCAUCUGCACAAUCACUUUCUACAGCAGGCACAUCAAAUGAAAGACACUGAGUGACUAAUUAGGGAUGUCUCUCUUCACUUUGUGUGGUCAUGCACUCGUGCCAUUUUUUGGUCAUUUUUCUGAUAGGAAUAUUUGUAUUAUCUAUCAGAAUAUGGACUUUAUAUGUUGUAUUAUUGGUGCUAAUAAAGUCAAGUGCAAUGCAUUUAUCUCACCUGUCACAUUAAGGGUGUUAAAGCUCUAUUCCAACCACAGUAGAAGAAAGGUUUCUUGUUGAUGUGUAACUAUAUAGUCCACAAGAACUUGAAGAAAAAUCAUAUGCACAGAAUUGCAAGUUAAAGCAUCAUUUUCCGUGCACAUAAAAUCUGAUUGCAAUAAUUUAAAUGUUGAAACACAUGAUGAAAGCAAACAAGAUGUUGAAUCAAUUCCCCAGCAAAAGAAAUCUUGUCCUCAUACUUCAAAACUUCCAAAAGAUUAUCCGAGAUGGAGCCCAGAAAGCAAGAAAGAUCUCAAUUUUCAAGAUUUAAUUAGCACAAGAGGUGAAGGGGAGCCUUGGAGCAACGUAAAGUUGGCUCCGUAUGACAUAUAGGUCACGGGUUCGGGCCGUGGAAGCAGCCACUAAUGCUUGCAUAAGGGUAGACUGUCUACAUAACACCCCUUGGCGCGGUCUUUCCUCGGACCCUGCGUGAAUGCGAAAUGCUUUGUGCACCGGGCUGCCCUUAAUCAGCACAAGAGUUUGAGGUAAUGGAGUCAUCUAAACUCUCUGGAGGCACAGAAGAAUGCAGCAACGAGUCGGCAUGGACAAUGUAUAUCGCUUCACCUAUUCAUCAAUAUAAUCAAGAAGACUACGAUAAUGGUGAUGAAAGAAAUUCGAGGAAGAGAGAUAAGUAUCUUUACAAUGAUAAUGACGAUGAUGACAAUGAAGAUGGCGAGAGUGAUGACUCCUUAGUUUCGGAUGCCUCGUCUGGUCCAGGUCGUCAAGAAAUAUGCACAAGCAUCGAUAGAAGUCAUGGGAAGUUUCAAUUUAAGCAUGCAGAGAAAGAAACAACAAAGCUUUCAAGCAAGGAACGCCGCGGACAGGUGAAGAAGAAACUGUAUGAUACAAAUAUAAAAGCAGUAAAAGAAGAUUCAGGACACAAAGCAAAGAACAGAAUAGAUUAUGCAUGUAGCAGAUCAACAUCUAGGAGAAAAUAUUAGAUUUGAGGGGGACAGUGAGCCACUAUAUCUUUUCUUGUUUAUAACUAUUACAUCAAUGAGGUAAGAAAAAUAAAAUAUUUUUUUCUAACUCAGUUGACAGGAGGGAAUAAGUAUAGGAUCUUUAUAUAUGGUUUCAGGACACAAUAAGUCUGAUUUCUGAAACAAAAAUAGCAGAUACAGCUAAGUUUCCUCUCAAUAAACAAAUAAGAAAAGAGGUAUGACUACUUCCAGUUACAAAUACAAGUCAAAGAGUUCAAAUCACAUUAGGAUGAGCAACUGCAAAAGUCUAUACAGUCCUGCUAGAAUGUUACUACUUAGUACGACAAUUUGAAAAUUGAAAUGUUUUAAAUUAGCAUCCAAACAUUUGCAUUCAGGCUCCGCGGACCAUCUAUUGAUUGGAAAUUCACAGGGCGACGUCAGGAGAGCCAUAGCAAGGUACAAUGAUUACAAGAGCGGAAUAUUAAGAUAUCUAUUACAAAAAAUAGAAAACUAAUUCAUGCUUGAAGUACAAGAUCUUGGAUAUGUCCAAUCAAUAGAGUCAGUGUCAUGGUAGAUAAUGACAUGAUAUGGAUAUUAAGUUAUCUAUAACAACAACUAGCAAAUUAGUUUAUGCUUAAGAGCCACUCUUCAGAACUCACCUGAAGAAAGUAUGAGUCAGAAGAAACUGAUAAAUAGAUGAUUUUCUAAAUUUAGAUUCCAAGGAAAAACCAAUAAGAAAUGUGAAAGCUCCACAAUAGUUGAACCAAAGUCAGGAUCAUGAAUCACAAACUUAGUAGGGACAACUGCUCAAAAUCUGGUACUGAGCAGAUUUAAACUCUCUGGAUUCAACCUUUAAAGUUAUUAGCAUUGAACCCGUUGCAUUUUUAAAAUUAUAGGUUCAUAUCGACUAUUUGUUACAGUUUUAAUGAAAUUUUAUACAUAAAUUUAUGUUCCGCACCAAAAGUAUGGGUUCAAAUGAACCCGGCAGCAAUAUGCUGCGUCCACCUAGCCUUUUUCAUUUGGUCUCCCAAUAAACAAAAAAGGAUUUCUGGUGACACGAAAGCCAUGCUCAACGCUCUCUUUCCUAUUCCACUGCGCUAAGUGGUCUUUCCUUUUCUUGUUGGAUGACUACUAUGUAAAAAGAUGACGACUACUCCCAGUCUUUGGUCAAUCUGGCUUUCCGCAGAAUUCUAUAUGUAUCUAUGAGAUCAAGUAUGGAAUUCUGCUUACUCACAUUAAAGUGAGUAUCCGUUUCCCUCCCUUUCCUGCUACUAAUGAGAAUUUCAAACACCAAAAAAUUUCGCGGUUCAAUGUUGAACGUGUGCAGAGAAAGCAAAAAGAGAACAUAACGCACUUUACAUCCUGAAAGGUUAAAAUCAUGACUUGAAAUGUCAAGAUGUGUCAGUAGGCAAAGGACCUAAAUUCAGUUCCACAAAUAAACAGAUAGUUUUAGUGUAAGAGAUUAGCAUUUAGCAACCUUGUUUCUGUGACAAGACACAUCAUUUAGCUGGUAAAUUUCCCCUUACAACUUGUCCAAGGGAAAAGAUACUUUCCCGAGAUUUUAGUAUCAGCAUGAGGAAAAUGAGACCGGAACUUGGAGCAUGGCAAUUUUCUGAAAUAAAUGAAAGGAUCCUUAGCUGCAGAGAAUGACAAUCACUAUGUAUUAUGAAAAUUAUAUAAAGGUUCAAUUGCCUGUUAAUAAAAAACACAAGGGAAAAUUUGCAAAGCACAGAGCUUUCCUGAUUUUGAUGACACGAACGGGUGUAUGUGACGGUUCCCAGGUAAUACUCAAAACAUUUCAACUGAAUCAGACACUAGCAAGCACAACAUUUGAAAUAUGUAAGAUGAAGGAGAAGAGAAAUUGACUCAAAUAACAAAAGAUAAUGAGAAGUGCACAUCAUCAUAGAUUCAUAUUGCAAAACAAAGGACUGGAGAAGAUAUUAUAGGCUUCCCCAGCACAUGUAACUUAAAGGACAUAAAUGAAAGAAAAGGGCCAACACCUUAAAGAUACAAAUAGGCUUCACAACAACAUAGGUAAAGUUCCAACAUUUGAGAGACCACA